UAGUCUUUUCCAUCAUCAACUUAAAUAUCCAGAAAAUUUGAAGACAUUUAGCUAUGUAAGGCAAUACUGUUCUGUAUAUAAAUAUAUACAAGAUAGUGUAUGAAUGUUUAGCAAACAGAAAGAAGAAGAGUAAAAAGAAGAUAGUGUGUGAAUAUAUGUAAUGAGAUCUUAUCGUCAAUCGUUAUGGCCAAAGAAGAUAACGAACUCUGGACAAAAACUUCGCACUCACAACCGUACGUCACUUAAAUUUUCGAAUUGGGGUAGGGACUUUUUUUUGACAUCUUGGGGUAGGGACUUAAAUAACUAAAGUCCGAACAUUUUUAACUCAUCUGUUUUUUUUUUUGGUUGAAACUCAUUUGUUUUUACACUUUUAUUUAAAUGCUAAGCAAGUUUCUUACUGGGCAAAUGUCCAAAAUAGCACUUUUCUAAGUUUAUAUCACAAAAAUAGCACUCAAAAACUAAAAUGACCAAAAUAGCACAUUUCUAAGUUUAUAUCUUAUCCCCAAAACCUCAUUUCUCAAUUCUAAACUUUACAUCCUAAACUCUAAACCCUAAACCCUAAACUCUAAACCCUAAACCCUAAACUCGAAACCCUAAAUCCUAAACUCGAAACCCUAAACCCUAAACUCUAAACCCUAAACCCUAAACCCUAAACCCUAAACCCUAAACCCUAAACCCUAAACCCUAAACUCUAAACCCUAAACCCUAAACUCUAAACCCUAAACCCUAAACCCUAAACCCUAAACCCUAAACUCUAAACCCUAAACCCUAAACCCUAAAUCAUAAACCCCACCCUUUAACUCUAAACUCUAAGUUUGUGACUUUUGAUAAAACAUUAAGUGUUAUUUUUGUGACUUUUGACUUUGAGUGCUAGUUUGGAAACAAAAACUUGAUUUAGUGCUAUUUUUGUUUUUUUUUCUUUCUUACUUCAUUAAAAAUAUAGUGAUAACGAUUCAAAAUUCAUCAGUUUA
rnacentral:lncRNA from 1 species